GGGUUCUCGUGGUUUUUAGGGCUUUAUUUGAGAUAGACAGCUGUAGAUCAAAAAUAAGGAAAUUGGUCGCGAUAUUUGAAUAAACGCAGUUUCCUAUCAAUUGUUACACGAUCGUUUAAAUAGCAGUGAUUAUCAAGUGUGCUUCACUUUGCAAACCAAGGAAAACAAAAUGAACAAGCUACUACUCGUCGCUCUUUUGCUCGGCAUGCUCAUGAUGGUGCAAGACUCUGAGGCUUGGUGGAUUCGGAGGCGUAGACGUUACGUAAGGCGUAGACGUUACGUAUCGCGUAGACGUUGGUACCAGCACAGGUCUACUAGAGAUGGGUUGGGUACAGAUGAGAACGAAGAAAUGGAGUCAAAAGAAGAUUCCAACAUGAACAUUGAAAAUAUCGAUUAUUUACAAGAUUUACAAAACCAGAUUGAGCAGUAAUUGAAAAAACGGAAUAGCAGAUAAGGAACACAUAAAGAUUGAAUGAUACUGCCUUUCUUUUUGCCAUUCCAGUAAAUAAAUAACCAGCAACAAA